UAACGAAUCUUCCCCAAUGCACGAAAGUGUGAGGGAGCGACGCCGCGUGGAGGACGAAGUCCUUCGGGAUGUAAACUCCUGUCAGGGGUUACCAAGUUCUGAGGAACCCCAGAGGAAGAGGCGGCUAACUCUGUGCCAGCAGCCGCGGUAAGACAGAGGCCUCAAGCGUUAGGCGGAAUCACUGGGCUUAAAGCAUGUGUAGGCGGGUCGUUAAGUACCUUGUGAAAUCCCACCGCUCAACGGUGGAACGGCUGGGUAUACUGGCGACCUUGGGCCACUCAGGGGCAACUGGAACAAGCGGUGGAGCGGUGAAAUGCGUAGAUAUCGCUUGGAACGCCGAAGGUGAAGACAGUUUGCUGGGGGUGUGCCGACGCUGAGACACGAAAGCCAGGGGAGCAAACG
rnacentral:rRNA from 1 species